rnacentral:rRNA from 1 species
GCAUUAGCUAGUUGGCGGGGUAACGGCCCACCAAGGCGACGAUGCGUAGGGGUUCUGAGAGGAAGGUCCCCCACACUGGUACUGAGACACGGACCAGACUCCUACGGGAGGCAGCAGUGAGGAAUAUUGGUCAAUGGGCGCGAGCCUGAACCAGCCAAGUCGCGUGAGGGAAGACGGUCCUAUGGAUUGUAAACCUCUUUUGUCGGGGAGCAAAAGGCGCCACGUGUGGCGUUCCGAGAGUACCCGAAGAAAAAGCAUCGGCUAACUCCGUGCCAGCAGCCGCGGUAAUACGGAGGAUGCGAGCGUUAUCCGGAUUUAUUGGGUUUAAAGGGUGCGCAGGCGGAAGAUCAAGUCAGCGGUAAAAUUGAGAGGCUCAACCUCUUCGAGCCGUUGAAACUGGUUUUCUUGAGUGAGCGAGAAGUAUGCGGAAUGCGUGGUGUAGCGGUGAAAUGCAUAGAUAUCACGCAGAACUCCGAUUGCGAAGGCAGCAUACCGGCGCUCAACUGACGCUCAUGCACGAAAGUGUGGGUAUCGAACAGGAUUAGAUACCCUGGUAGUCCACACAGUAAACGAUGAAUACUAAUUGUUCGGGGAGAAUGAU